UUUUGUCCUUUUAUGGCAUCUUCCCGUCAUUGUCAUGGUGAUUGUCAGCCGCUGUGGCACUGGUGGGAGUGUCACGGAGCAUGAAAAUGAGGUUGUAAUGAAGUUGGAGGCCCCGCAAAGGCCAGGUGGACUUCCACUUAGCAUCCUGCUGGUCUUAGCUGGUUUAACCAAGAGGGAAGCCUCUGACCUCAGGCAUCCUAUUGCUGAAGAUAAGCAGAGUUUGAGUUGUGCAACUGUUCAGCCAAGCCUACAAGAUGUAUAGUGCUGUGGGGGUAACAUGGCCUCCCUACCCAGCCUCGCUUCAGAACUUUCGUACCAAGGCUGGACUGUAGAAAAGUCCUUCCUAUGCCAUGGCACUUUCCCACUGAGGCCUCCCAUGGGUGCCGUUUCCUUUGCUGGAAGGUUCUCCUCGACUCCUGGCAGUCUAUACUCAUUUAAAGGUUUCCGCCUUCUCUAAAGCCUCUCGCUGCUGGACUUCACGGUGGAUCAGAUUUCCCUUUUAUAAACAUUCAUAGCAGACUGUACAUUUCUUUCACUGCGUUCACCAAACGAUUUGAUGGCGAAGUGCGUGAGGGCGUGGGCCUUCUCCAUCACUAGCGUUCCUUGCACCCCAGGAGCUCAAUCCGUGUUUCCUAAAUGAAUACUUGACAUUUUGCUUGAUCGUAUAUUCUUGCACAGCAGUGAUCUUCACAACCUUUGAUUAGGCAGUGGCUUCUCAGAUACGACAACAAAAGCAUAAGCAACCAAAGGAAAAAAUAAAUUGGACUUCACCAAAAUUAAAAACUUUAGACUUCAAAGGACAUUCUCAAAAAAGUAAAAAACAACCAUAACCUAGCAAAUAAUAACAUCUGAUAAGGGCCUGAUAUCCAGAAUAUAUAAAGAAUUAUUACAACUCAACAGUGAAAAGACAAUCCAAUUCAAAUUCUUUAAAAUGUUUAAAGAAUUUGAAAAAUCUUCCAAACAAAAUACACAAGUGGCCAGUAAGUGCAUGAAAAGAUGCUCAACGUCAUUAAUCACCAGUGACUUAGUCACCAAUGACUAAUGCAUCAGUCACUUGAAAUGCAAAUCAGAACCUCUGAGAGCUGCCAGGCCACACCCAGUGGGAUGACUGUAAUCAGAAAGACGGGCAGCGCCAGUGAGGAUGCGGGGAGACUGGAGCCUCGUACACAUUGCCAGGGGAACAAAAACAGUGCAGCUGCUGUGCAGAAACGGGAAGACAGUUCCUCAAAGAUGGACGUAGGGCUACCAUGUGACCCAGCAUUUCCACCCUGAGGGGACACUCAGAAGACAGAGGCAGAUCCCCAGUGACAUCUCUUUCCCGUUGGGGUUUGCUUUUGUCACGUAGUCUCCAAUAGAGGUCAUCAUUCCUGGUGCCAGACCAGCUACGAUAUUACCAUACGUGUAGCGUUUUACGUGAGUUACGGAGUACUUGUGUGUUUUGUUUGUUUUUUCCAUAGCUCUUUGAAGUCAUAGAACAGUAUUAUUAUUUGUCUCCGUUUUCAGAUGAGGAAAACGAGACCUUGAGAGACUUUUGUUUGAGGUCAUGCCCGUAGGGAAUGAUAAAAGUCAUAGACCUGCUUAGAGCAGCUCACAGGCAGUUAUAAAACAGGGUUUGAUAUUUUAAAAUUGUAUUUUUACAUUAUUUUAAGUGUUUCUAUAUGGACACAUUUUGGUCUUUAAGAGUAAUUUUAUGUUCUGUGGCUUGUAAACCACCUGCUUGUUUUCUGUACUGGGCACUUUUGUAUUUUUGUGCCUUGACUUUGAGUGAUUUUAUCAUUUUGUUAUCACCACGGAGCGUACUUCGUAAACCGAGAUGGUGUGGCCUACUACACAUCCCCGCUGUGUGGCGCAGCCUGUGGGUCCUAGGCUGCGAGGAGCAAGAGCUGCACUAAAUGCUGUAGGCAACUGAAACACAGUGGGAAUUAUUUGUGUGUCUAAACAGAUCUAAACACAGAAAAGAUGCAGUAAAAAUACAGUGUGAGACUCUGUAGGCCCCCAUCUCACAUGUGGUCAAGUGUGAGACUCUGUAGGCCCCCAUCUCACAUGUGGUCAAGUGUGAGACUCUGUAGGCCCCCAUCUCACAUGUGGUCAAGUGUGAGACUCUGUAGGCCCCCAUCUCACAUGUGGUCAAGUGUGAGACUCUGUAGGGCCCCAUCUCACAUGUGGUCAAGUGUGAGACUCUGUAGGGCCCCAUCUCACAUGUGGUCAAGUGUGAGACUCUGUAGGGCCCCAUCUCACAUGUGGUCAUCUGUAGUUGACCGAAAUGUUGUGUAACAUGUGACUGUUUCCAGGCACACCCUCCCCUAGGUGCUUCAGUUUCUGUUUUUUCAGUCUUUUGAGGUAAAAUUUGCAUGCAGUGAACUACCUACAGUAUUAUCUGUCUGCUUGCUGCUGAGGUAUAGGACAUGAUUGCCACCCCAGAAACUUCCCUCAUCCCUCAUGUGGGGCAGGCCCUUUCUGCUGUCUGGAUUUGUUCCACUGUGGGUUGCUUCCUGCCUGUCGGUGACUUCAUGUAAAUGGACGACCACAGUGUGUACUUUUUGUGUCUGCCUUGGUGGGACUCAUCCUCUUUGUGUGUUUUACUGGUUUGUUUUGUCGUACUGAUGAGAAGUAUUUUUCCAUUUUUCUUUUCUUCUUUUGUUUUUGUUUUUUGAGACGGAGUCACGCUGUGUCACCCAGGCUGAAGUGCAUUGGCCCGGGUUCGAGUGAUUCUCCUGCCUCAGCCUCCUGAGUGGCUGGGAUUACAGGCACACACCACCAUGCCCUAUUUUUCCAUUUUUCAAAAACGGUUUAUAACAAUUAACUUUUACACAUUGUUGCUGCAAAUGAGGCAGUUUUUAGCUGGUGCCGCGGAGGAAGGAUGUUACUCAAGUAGUUAAUUGGGAUUUUCCUGGUUUGUUUUCUCUUUUAUUUUUACCCAUCAGGUAAGACAUCUUUUUUCAUAAUGUUAUUUUGUUUGAUGAAUAUGACUUGAUAUGAAUAAGUUGAUAUGAAUAUGACUUGAGCUUUGGGACUUUACCUCAAGAUAUUAAUUUGUUUAGGCAGUUUAUUUUGUGAUUUAUAAAUAAAAUUUUUAUUUCCUAUGUAACUUAAAAAAAAUUAUUUCCCCAUAGCCGUGCUGGUAUAGAGGACUCUAAGAAGUGGGGCAUGCUGUUUCUGGUGAACCAGCUGUUUAAAAUCUACUUCAAGAUCAACAAACUCCAUUUAUGUAAACCCCUAAUUAGAGCAAUUGACAGCUCAAACCUGAAAGACGAUUACAGCACUGCACAGAGAGUAACAUACAAAUACUACGUUGGACGCAAGGCUAUGUUUGACAGCGAUUUUAAGCAAGCUGAGGAGUACCUGUCAUUUGCCUUUGAGCAUUGUCACCGUUCUAGUCAGAAGAACAAAAGGAUGAUUCUGAUCUAUUUGCUUCCAGUAAAAAUGCUAUUGGGUCACAUGCCCACUGUGGAGCUCCUGAAAAAGUAUCACCUGAUGCAGUUUGCGGAAGUAACCAGAGCUGUGAGCGAGGGCAACCUGCUGCUGCUGCACGAGGCGCUGGCGAAGCACGAGGCCUUCUUCAUUCGCUGCGGAAUCUUCCUCAUCCUGGAGAAGCUGAAGAUCAUCACCUACAGGAACCUCUUUAAGAAAGUGUAUUUGUUACUGAAAACACACCAGCUGUCUCUGGAUGCUUUUCUGGUUGCCUUGAAGUUCAUGCAGGUGGAGGACGUGGACAUUGACGAAGUUCAGUGUAUUCUGGCUAACUUGAUAUACAUGGGACACGUCAAAGGCUACAUAUCGCAUCAGCAUCAGAAGCUGGUGGUCAGCAAGCAGAACCCAUUUCCUCCCCUGUCCACGGUGUGUUGAAAGUACACGGAGACCCGAGGACGACCUGAUGAAAACCUGGAAUUCCUUUUUCACAAACUCGGCUGGUUCUGGAGUCUUUGUGAGACUUCUUUGAAGGAGGCUUUGCGUGAAGGCCGCUCCGGCUCACUUUUCCUAAGUGUGGUUCCUGAAGGCUGUCUUUGUAACUUUUUGUAGUUCUUUGUGUAAAAAGGGUAUUCUGAAUUUAUACACAUGGCAUGUUCUUCAUUAUAUCUUCCAGGAUACAUCUAUUUUUAUAUAUUAAAUUUGAAUGUGUUAUCAAAAUGCUUGGUUAACUUAAGGCACCUUUUUAAAAGCAGAAUUUAAUUUGAUUUAAGUUUUCCAGAUUUUAUAGCUUGCCUGUAUGGAUGCUCCUCAAUUUUUGAUGGGGUUACAUCCCAAUAAACUUAUUUUAUUUGCCUUUG
rnacentral:sRNA from 1 species